UAACCAAUGCCUGAAGUAUUUGAUGCUC
rnacentral:sRNA from 1 species